UACGAGUGCCUCAAGCGUUAUCCGGAAUCAUUGGGCGUAAAGGUUGUGUAGGUGGUUGUAUUAGUCUUCUGUUAAAUUCUUCGGCUUAACCGGGGGCAUGCAGAGGAAACGGUACGACUAGAGGAUGCGAGGGGUCUGUGGAAUUCAUAGUGUAGCGGUAAAAUGCGUUGAUAUUAUGGAGAACACCAAAAGCGAAGGCAGCAGACUGGAGCACUCCUGACACUGAAACAAGAAAAGCGUGGGUCGCGAAAUGGG
rnacentral:rRNA from 1 species